GCACAUGGGUAAAUUGAUCAUAACAGAAACCAACUUGCCUUCUGUUCACUUCUAAAUUUUAGUGUCAUUUUUAUUGAUUUAGCUGCUUCCCAAUUCCUAUUUUUGUUCAAUUAUCAAUCAAUAUUGGCAUUACGAGAUUCUUCUUCUACGCCAAUGGCAAAGCAUUGCCAUGCUUCUUACUAAUUUAUUGUCCAUUUUGAGAUAUUUACAGGCGGCUAGUUUGACUCCUAUUCUGUUUAUGUUGUGCUCAGGCAUUUUCCGUUGUUAGGAAAAUAAUAAUUCAUAUUCAUGAUUUAAUAUGGUGGGUUUGCA
rnacentral:misc_RNA from 1 species